rnacentral:rRNA from 1 species
AAUAAAGUUUUCUUUAUUGGGGUUGCGGACAUAUCAUAACGAAGAGGUAUCGUAAUUGAAGAGGUUUGGAAAGACCCACCACAGAAGGUAAUAGUCCUGUAUGUUAAACGAGAAGACUUUAGAUAUGAUCCAGAGUACCACGGGACACGUGAAACCCUGUGGGAAGCAGGAGGGACCACCCUCCAAGGCUAAAUACUACCUAGUGACCGAUAGCGUAUAGUACCGGGAGGGAAAGGUGAAAAGAACCCCGGGAGGGGAGUGAAAUAGAACCUGAAACCCUGCACUUACAAGCUGUGGAAGCACAUUUCUUGUGUGACCGCGUACUUUUUGUAGAACGGGCCAACGAGUUACGUUAAGUAGCAAGGUUAAGCACUUAAGGUGUGGAGCCGUAGCGAAAGCGAGUUUUAACUGAGCGUUCAGUUACUUGACGUAGACCCGAAACCGGGCGACCUACCCAUGAGCAGGAUGAAGCGAAAGUAAAAUUUCGUGGAGGUCCGAACCCACGAGCG